rnacentral:lncRNA from 1 species
AUAAUCAAAGAAGUACACUAUUAUCACGAAAUUUUAGCCUUUUUCUGUAAGUUCUAACGACUGUAGAAGAGGCUACUGAAAAGGACUAGGGCAAUAUUUUAUUAUUUGUACAAGAUAUCAUUUCUCUUGGAUUAGGAUAAUUUAAAAUGGAAGAUCAUCAACUGAAAAAACGGUCAGAACUAGUUACCAAUGUCGAAAAGAAGGUGAGUUACUGACGAGCUUUUCUAUAAUGAAAGGAAUAGGUUUUCUAAAAGCAACGUUAAAAGUAUAAAGGAAAAAUAUCCCACUUAACAUAGCAACAGCAAAAUAGUCCCCAGCAUAAACUUAACAAGAAAUGCGUUGAGCUAAUUAUCAAAAGAACUAUGACAAGUUAGUGAAUUACAAAAGUUAAGAUGCAAAUAGAGGUACCAUUUUAUCUUUCUUGAUCCUGAGUUCUAACAGUACAUCAAUUAGUUCCCAUAAUUUCAAUCAGAAUGCCAAAUUGAAAAUUUCACAAAGCCCUUCUAAAGUUCACUUGGAAAAUUAAAAGAUAAGAAGAGCCAAGAAAUCUUUGAAGACAUUGUAGGGGAAGUCAUCUAGAUAUUUAUAUGUAUCAUAAAGUUAUAGUGAUUAAAGUAGUACUGAGUACUACAAGGAUAAAGUAAAAUGCACUUAUAGAAAAAUAGCAUAAUAUGUGUGUGUGCCGUGCAUGCAUAUACAUAUAUGUAUUAAUCAAGUAUAUCAUGAAUAGCAUCUCAAAAGAAUGCUGAAUUGUUUUAGAAACAGUAUCAAGAAUAAGGUAACAACUCUUCAUUACAGAUAUCUAACAUCUUUUGAACACCCUCUGACAUUUCUCACUUUGUAAACAAGUCCUGUUUUCCCAAGAGAAUCUGUAAAUCAGGCAUAUGACUUAAGUCUACACUCCCCCAUACCCUGCUCUGUGACAUCUGAUGUGGAGAAGAGCCACAGGAGGGCGCAUAUUCCAGGAGACUAUUCUGGUGAUCUUUCGAUAAUUACAGGGCUUAAGCCCAAGUUUAUCCUCCUUUGCUGUGGAACAAAGACCUUUCUC